AUUGAACGCUGGCGGCAUGCCUUACACAUGCAAGUCGAACGGCAGCGGACCUUCGGGUGCCGGCGAGUGGCGAACGGGUGAGUAAUAUAUCGGAACGUACCUUUCAGUGGGGGAUAACGUAGCGAAAGUUACGCUAAUACCGCAUAUUCUGUGAGCAGGAAAGCAGGGGAUCGCAAGACCUUGCGCUGAUUGAGCGGCCGAUAUCAGAUUAGCUAGUUGGUGAGGUAAAGGCUCACCAAGGCGACGAUCUGUAGCGGGUCUGAGAGGAUGAUCCGCCACACUGGAACUGAGACACGGUCCAGACUCCUACGGGAGGCAGCAGUGGGGAAUUUUGGACAAUGGGCGGCAAGACCUCGAUCCAGCCAUGCCGCGUGAGUGAAGAAGGCCUCGU
rnacentral:rRNA from 1 species